ensembl:antisense Gm15063 predicted gene 15063
CAUGUCUCCAAAGGUUAAUAAAUUAAUCACUUAUUCAUAUGAAUAAUGAUCCAGUGAAAAAAGCUAGGUAUCAGGUAGGCUUGGUUCUUGCUUUCUUAUUAUGUAAAAUGGGAUCAAAAAUCUCACAGUCCUAUUAUGGUGAUCAAAUGAGUGAAAUAAAUUAAUAUGAAUAAUUUUUAAGGAUUCCAAGACUACGUGUUGAGCCAAUACUCAGAAUAGAACCAAUGACCAAGGGCUUGACUUAGGGUUUUUGUUUGUUGACAAUCUCUGUGUUGUCGUUGUCAGGUAUCUGAAGAAGCAAGCAGUAUACUUACUUCGGGAUUAUGGUUCCCUGAUGCAGUGAAAGUCCAGGUCUGUGAAGGCUUUCUCCACAUUAAUGGCAUCUCGGGCUGACGUCUCAAUGUACUUCAUGCCGUAUGCAGCAGCCAGUUUCUCGGCCUCGUGGCGAGUCACUUGCCUCUGUGUAUCCAGGUCACACUUGUGACCCACCAGAACAAAUACAAUUUGGUAGGGCUGAACGUGUACUUUGGUCUCUUCUAACCACUCAUGGACAUUCUGGAAGGACCUGCGGUUGGUAAUGUCAAAUAAGAGAAGACCACCUACUGAAUUCCUGUAGUAGGCGCGAGUGAUGGAUCUAAAACACAAGAAAGAAGUAAAGAAUAAAGUUCGUGCUCAAACUCCUUCACUCCAACGAACUCAGUGUAUUCUAGUGUUCCUGAUUCCUGACAGUCCUUUAGUAAAUACAAAUGCAGUCUAUAACAAUAAUGACAAGUUUUCAACUGAGUAAAAUGUUAAGAAUGCUCGUGAACUUUCAGGUAUUUUCCCUUGAAUUUAUUAUAAUUGAUAACCCCUGAAAAUAUCUUGCAAAAUAUUUCAUUUUUCUAUUUAUCAUUAA